rnacentral:rRNA from 1 species
AUGGAUCCAAAUUCAACAUAUUUGCUGAAAAUCAAAUUGCUUGGCAACAAAAAAACUAGGAAGGAUAUCAAAUGCUUUUGUUAUGAUAAGGUUAUUGAUUCCGACAUAACAAAUUAUAAUGACUUGGUUGAAUCAAUCGUAGAGCAGUACUCGCCUCGUUAUUUGGAAGUUGCACAUGUUCAGUACUAUGAUCCUUUUCUUAAAAUCUACCCCAUCCGAGUUGUGCACUUGUUUGUUGCAUAUUGUGAUCCAUCUGAACCAUAUGAGCCUAUCACGGAGUGGCAUAGUGAUGCGCAUAUCCAACCUAGCAACACAGAAUAAGACGAUGAUGAUUAUCUUCGCAACCCAAUACCUGCGAAUGAACAUGUUGGUGUUGAUGAGGAAAAUAUUUAUUUAGAUGAUGAUGAUUAUCUUCGCAACCCAAUACAUGUACCUCUUAUCAUGGUUCCCUGUUCCGAUAAAGAAAGGGACGAAGACUAUGUUCCUGGUCAUGAGAGCGAGGAUGAGAGCGAGGAUGAGGGCGAUGAGGAAGUAGAGGAAGAUGAGGAAGUGCACGAGGCAGAGCAUACACCACAUUUAGAAUAUGAUAAAUUAGAUCAUCUAAUGAUCGAAGGAGGAAAAUAUUCCAAUAUGAUAGAGUUUAAGUUGGCGCUUUCUCAACAUGCAAUCAAACAUGAAUUUGAGUUUAACACCGAGAAGAGUGCACCACAUAGGUUCAGCGCUUAUUGUUCAAGAAGGAAUGAAGGUAAGUGUCCAUGGAGGAUAUAUGCUUCUACAAUGGAAGAUAAGUGUCCACGGAGGGUAAGCUGCUAG